GGCUGGGUGGUGUAGCUUGGUUAUGUGAGUUCUGCUCCUGUUCAAAUUCAUCUCGCAGUCACUAAUAUUGUCAAAGCACAUCUCUUUAACAAGAAAUUAUAACAGAGAAGGUCCUCAGUUCAAAUCUGGGCCUAGUCA